rnacentral:rRNA from 1 species
UGGGGAAUUUUGGACAAUGGGCGCAAGCCUGAUCCAGCCAUGCCGCGUGUCUGAAGAAGGCCUUCGGGUUGUAAAGGACUUUUGUCAGGGAAGAAAAGGCUGUUGCUAAUAUCGACAGCUGAUGACGGUACCUGAAGAAUAAGCACCGGCUAACUACGUGCCAGCAGCCGCGGUAAUACGUAGGGUGCGAGCGUUAAUCGGAAUUACUGGGCGUAAAGCGAGCGCAGACGGUUACUUAAGCAGGAUGUGAAAUCCCCGGGCUCAACCUGGGAACUGCGUUCUGAACUGGGUGACUAGAGUGUGUCAGAGGGAGGUAGAAUUCCACGUGUAGCAGUGAAAUGCGUAGAGAUGUGGAGGAAUACCGAUGGCGAAGGCAGCCUCCUGGGAUAACACUGACGUUCAUGCUCGAAAGCGUGGGUAGCAAACAGGAUUAGAUACCCUGGUAGUCCACGCCCUAAACGAUGUCAAUUAGCUGUUGGGCAACUUGAUUGCUUANNAGCGUAGCUNACGCGUGAAAUUGACCGCCUGGGGAGUACGGUCGCAAGAU